rnacentral:rRNA from 1 species
AUUGAACGCUGGCGGCAUGCCUUACACAUGCAAGUCGAACGGUAGCAGGUUAAGCUGACGAGUGGCGAACGGGUGAGUAAUGUAUCGGAACGUGCCCAGUCGUGGGGGAUAACUACUCGAAAGAGUGGCUAAUACCGCAUACGACCUGAGGGUGAAAGCGGGGGACCGUAAGGCCUCGCGCGAUUGGAGCGGCCGAUAUCAGAUUAGCUAGUUGGUGGGGUAAAAGCCCACCAAGGCGACGAUCUGUAGCUGGUCUGAGAGGACGACCAGCCACACUGGGACUGAGACACGGCCCAGACUCCUACGGAAGGCAGCAGUGGGGAAUUUUGGACAAUGGACGCAAGUCUGAUCCAGCCAUGCCGCGUGCGGGAAGAAGGCCUUCGGGUUGUAAACCGCUUUUGUCAGGGAAGAAACGAGUUUCUCUAAUACAGAGACUUAAUGACGGUACCUGAAGAAUAAGCACCGGCUAACUACGUGCCAGCAGCAGCCGCGGUAA